CCCUUCCUGGAGUGGGAAUCUCAGCCCAGUUUUAAUGUUUGCUGUGUCCCUUCCACUCUGGGGGAGUCAUUGGCAUCAAUGAGCCAGUGGAAGGUGCCCUAAAGUUCUGCAUUUUAGGUUUGCUGAGGUCAUUUUCCUUCCUCCUUCUUGUCUGCAAGUGGCUGCCAGAGCUGUUUGGGAAGGGGGGGUCGUGGUGCAGGGUGAGAGGUGGAUGGGAGAGAAGGAGCAGGUGGAUGGAGGAGGCAAAAUCAGGUGGAUGGGAGAGAAGGAGCAGGUGGAUGGAGGAGGCAAAAUCAGGUGGAUGGGAGAGAAGGAGCAGGUGGAUGGAGGAGGCAAAAUCAGGUGGAUGGGAGAGAAGGAGCAGGUGGAUGGAGGAGGCAAAAUCAGGUGGAUGGGAGAGAAGGAGCAGGUGGAUGGAGGAGGCACGAUCAGGUGGAUGGAAGAGGCAAGAUCAGGUGGAUGGAGGAGGCAGGAUGAGAGAGAUGAGAUCUAAGUUGCCAGGCAGAGGCCUGUUGUUGCCCUCCAGCUGUGUGCUGCACCUCCCAGAGCAGUCAGUGUAUGGCACUGAGCCUCCACCUCAUCCCCAAGAGACUUUUCCUUCUGUCUCCCCAACACUGCUGUCCAGUCCCACCCUGGGGAAGGCAGAACCACCCCAGAACAGCUCUCUCCAUCCCUGCUACUUUGCCAUGGUAUCUGCUGCAGGAGGAAAGUUCUCUUCCUCCUCCUCCUCCUCCUCCUCUCCAGCCCCUGCAUUGGCCAAGCCCUGGGGACCAGCUUUUUGUGUCUUGACUGCAGCCUCAGGCAGGGAAGGCAGCAUCUGUGCCUUAACCAUUUGUACAAGUCCCACCUAAACCAGGGCAGGGAGGGGUUUAAAUCCCUGUUCCAACAUAAGCCAGAGGCUUAUGAGGAAAACUAAACUGAAGUCUUUGCCCUUUGGCAAGAGAAAAAAAAUCACCUUCCCAAACUUCCCUGCCUUAGCUUUGUCCCAGUUCUUUGAUCUCCCCCAGCUCUGAAUUCUCCUUGCAUUUGCCCCUCUCAAAGCAGGAAGGAUGAGGCCCAAGAGGGAUGAAGCAGGAAGGAUGAAACCCAACAAACAAAAGAGUUGAGAGUUGGGUUCAUUCCCUGCAGUUUUUAGAGCCAGGAGCUGUGCCCUGUAAAGUUUGGGAGCUUCCUGGGGGGGGGGUGAAUAAAGAUGUUUUGCUCUCUUGGUAGCUCUGAAUAUUUAUCUCCCAGCUUAAAGGAAACUAAAAAGGAGGAGGGGGGUAAGGGAAAAGGAAUCUGUCAGAAGAAUUCCUUCUGUAGAGCUUUCUGUGAUUGCUUCUUAGUGCAAGGAGAGACAACAUCUGACCCCCCCCUCCUCCUCCUCCCCCCUCAGAGCUUUAGAACCUUGGUGAUAGGAAGAGAAUGAAAUCUGCCUUUAAUCAUAGGCUGGUUUGGGUUGGAAAGGAGCUCAGAGAUCAGCUCAGUGCUCAUUCUGUCUCAGAGCCUUGUCCCCUCUCUAGCACUAGCUCAGACAUCUGCUUCUUGUGAUUCAGUGACCAGAAUGGAGUUCCUGGGACAGGUUUUGUGACCUGAAUGGAGUUCCUGGGACAGGUUUUGUGACCAGCAGUGGAGUUUGUGUUUGCUCUCCUGCUAGGCAGGGCUGGUUUAAGUCCUGUUCUUAACCCUGGGGCUCUUGCAGAAGCCUCCUGGGGCUUUGUCCAGUGGGGAAAACGUGGCCUUGAAAUUGGGGUAAGGAGAGAGAGAGAAGGUCUUGGUGCUGGGUUUGCAAGAGAAGAAGUUUUAAUUCUGUUGAAAGCUCCAAACAAAACAUAGGAAUGAAACAGGAGUUGGCAAGGAGAGGCUUGGGUGGCACCAGCCAGAGGGAGAAUCCAUGCAGAGAGGCUUCAGCCUUCAGCAGCUGCUCUCUGAGAUGGGCUCUGUGGCUGCAGCCACUCUGGGCACUCUCCUGUCCUCUCCCAAGGCUGGGCCAUUCCCAGGAAAGCUGCCAGGUUGGCAGCAGCCAGCUCCAUGCCAGCCUGGCCCUGGUUUGUGCUGAGUGGAGCUGCUCACUGCCCUGGCACAGCUCAGGUUGAGGAGAACCCAACAGCUGCCACCUGCUUGGGCUGGCAGAGAUGACCCCCCCCAGAGUGGGGUUGGGCUGGAGGGGACCUCUGGAGCUCACCCAGUCCAACCCCCUGCAGCCAGCAGGGACCCUCCUGCCUAGAGCAGCUUGCUCAGAGCCCCCUCCCAAGCCUGACUUUGAAUGUCUCCAGGGAUGAGGCCUCAAGCACCUUGGGCCAGGGAGGGAUUUCCUGCUCAGGGAGGAGCAGAAGCCCACCCUGGGAAGAUUGAGCCCCCAGGGGCCUGUUUUGAACUCUUUCCCUUUCUCUUUGUGAGGAGCAGCAUCUUUUGGGCUCUUCCCUUCAUGAACUCAUCGAGUUGCAAGAACUCAGCCUCUGUUUUUAACCCCCUAAAUAACCCAGAGGCUGCUCCUAGCAGCUGGGGAAGGACCAAGGCCUGAGAAAUGUCCUCCAGAACCUCCUCAAGUCCUGUGCAGGUGACCCCAAGCAUUCUCUCUUAUCACCUGAGGCUGUUCUUUAAGGUGCCCAUCACAACUCUUAAGACCUUGGCUUGAAAUGCUGGCCAAAAGUGCUGCUUCUGGGAGGCAGCAGCAGCAAAAGCAGAGCAGAGAGCUGUGGUUUGGGCUGAGUUUGGGCAUCUGGCAGCAAGUGAGGUGUCCACCAGUGCCUGCUGAGGUCUCCUGGCCUUACCUUGCUGCUCAGGGCCUGAAGGUUGGGUGGGCAGAGAGCUCUUUGCAGUGGCAGUUUCCUGGCUUCUCUUUGUGGAUGCUUUUGUGAGCUGUUGGCUGCUUCAGCUCCCUCCUGGCUCUGCUCUGGGGAGGGAAGGAAGCACUUGAGGGAAAGGUUCCCUGGAAACACUCUGGAUGGGACACUUGUAGCAGCUGAACUUGGCCUGCCAGCAGGGGCAAGCUGGGAUCUCCUCACCUGACAAGUCAGCUUCAGCUGGGUCCUGUGUGUGUGAGGACAGCACUCAGCCAGGGCCCUGCUGCCCCUUCCCCUUCCCUUCUCCAGGGCCCUGCUGCCCCUUCCCCUUCCCUUCUCCAGGGCCCUGCUGCCCCUUCCCCUCUCCUCUCAGAGCCCUGCUGCCCCUUCCCUUCCCCCUUCCAGGGCCCUGCUGCCCCUUCCCCUCUCCUCUCAGAGCCCUCCUACCCCUUCCCUUCCCCCUUCCAGAGCCCUCCUACCCCUUCCCUUCCCCCUUCCAGAGCCCUGCUGCCCCUUCCCUUCCCCCCUCCACGGCCCUGCUGCCCCUUCCCUUCCCCCCUCCACGGCCCUGCUGCCCCUUCCCUUCCCCCCUCCACGGCCCUGCUGCCCCUUCCCUUCCCCCCUCCACGGCCCUGCUGCCCCUUCCCCUCUCCUCUCAGAGCCCUCCUACCCCUUCCCUUCCCCCCUCCACAGCCCUCCUACCCCUUCCCUCCCCCCUCCAUGACCCUCCUACCCCUUCCCUUCCCCCCUCCACAGCCCCCCCCUUCCCCCCAAAUCAAACCCUUCUCCUUUUCCCCAACCUUUUUUUUUGGGGGGGGGGGGGGGGUUUCUCCCUUUUUCCCACAGCCCUGCUGCCAUCCCAAGGUCCUUUUCCCCACCCCCCCAUUCCCUCUCCCUGCAGAAUGGCCUCCCCCUUGUAAAUGUGGUGAUUUUCCCCUCUCUCACAGCCCCCCCCCCAUGUACAUUUGUUACAAUGUACAGUGCUUUUUAACACUUGUAUAUUAAAUUAUUUAAUAGCUUUUUUUUUUGCCUUGCCAGUUUGAUCUUUUUUGUGUGGAGCAGAGAUUUAAACCUCCCCCCCCCAAAACUAAACAACCUCCCCCCCCCCCCAAAAAAAAAUCUCCUUUCUAUUUCUUUUGUUUCCUUCUCUUUAAUAACUUGACCAGAAAACAAAACUCAGCCCUCAAAAAAGUCAAAGCUUUACAACUGGGGAAGUUUUUUCACCUGCUUUUGGAGGCUGAAGCCAGCUGAUUUCUAAGCCUGUUUGAAUUGCUCUGUAGUUAAAAGGCACUGAAGGCUUUGCUCAACCUCUAGAAUAAAUUCUUCUGAUGAGAGGAAGAAGAAAAUAAGGAGAGAAAUGUAAAGGGUUGGGGUUGGGGUUUUUUUUUUUCUCUCUUGUGUUUUUCCAACAGCAGCCACAAAAACUUAACCCAGAAGCAUCUUAAGUCUUGGUGGUAAACAGUGUAAAGACUUCUCUCUGGUACAGCCUCAAGUGUUUGCCUUCUGGGAGGCUCCAAAGGAAACUGAGAUCAAGUUGGUGGGAUUGAAAGUAAAAUAAUCUGUCUGGAGUUUAUUCCUUUCCCUCACUUUGGCUGCUACAGGCCAAAAGAGGGCUCAAAAGGGGCUGUGCUGCCAGGAUGGUGCACAGCAGGAGCUGGCUGUGGACCUUCAUCACUUGGAUGUCACUUCUGAUGUACUCCUGGAAGUAAAAAGGGUGAUACAGAGGGAGGGCAGAGAAUGGUAGGGGUUGGAAGGGACCCCUGGAGAUCAGCCAGGGUAGGGUCCAGGGGAAUGCAUCCAGCUGGGGUUGGAAGCUCUGCAGUAGAAGGAGACUCCACAACCUCUCUGGGCAGCCUGCUCCAGCAGUCUCACACCAAAGAAGUUUCUCCUCCUGUGCCAGUGCAGAGCUGACCUCCCUCCCUCCUGCAGGCUGAACCAAGCAGUUUCCAUCUCCCCACUGGGAUGGAAAAGGUGUCAGGAAGCUGGGGGAGAAGCUGGGACGAAGCCACCACUUGUCUGUGCUCUUCUACUGUCUUCUGUGUCUUGCUGAGUCUAUUUAAUUGUCUCCUGCAGCCAACCUGGAAGGUUGGGGCAGGUCUGGAGGAGGUGUUCACUGUUUGUAGCUCCCUCACCCACCUCUAACUCCAAUUAGCCAGAGCUGAUGCCCUCUGCCUGAGCUCCUUCCCCAGGCUGGCAGCAGGAGGGUGGCACUGGGGUGCUGGGUGGGCAACGUUUUUGUUUCCCUCUCCAUUUCUACGUUAGAGUUUUUAAAUAAAGCUGAAAUUUUACUUCUUUGUA